rnacentral:rRNA from 1 species
CUUUUUUUGAUUAUAAUUAAAAAUUUGACCUGCUCAAUGAUUUAUAUUAAAUAGCUGCGGUAUUUUGACUGUACAAAGGUAGCAUAAUCAAUAGUUUUUUAAUUGAAAGCUGGAAUGAAUGGUUUAAUGAAAUAAAAUCUGUUUUUAAUUUAAAAGUAAAAAUUUUUUUUUAGUUAAAAUACUAAAAUGAAUUUAGGAGACGAGAAGACCCUAUAGAUUUUUAUAAUUAUUUAAUAAAUAAAAUUUAUUAUUUUAAAUUUAUAAAUUUAAUUAUUUUAUUGGGGUGAUUAUUAAAUUUAAUAAACUUUAAUUAAUUGAACAUAAAUUAAUGGAUAGUUGAUCUUGAAAUUUUGAUUAAUAGAUUAAAUUACCUUAGGGAUAACAGCGUAAUUUUUUUGGGGAGACCUUAUUUAUAAAAAAGUUUGC